UUCCUAUCAUGACUACAUGUCUAUCCAAACACUUCUAUGUUGACUACCAGCAUUGACAAGUUGCCUAAUAUCACAUGUAAAGUUUCCUAUGAUGAUUACCUAUCAACCUAAUGCUCCCCCCUAAGUUGGUAGCCAUGACUGUCAAGUUGUGCAACACCAUCUCCAAAGUUGCAUAACAUCAUCUCUAAAGUUUCCUAGCAUUACCUAAACCUUGGCAACAACAUCAACUUUUCACAAUAUUGCAGGCAACUAAUUGUCGAUGGCAAGCAACUAAUCAAUCACAGCAGGCGACUAAAAAAUUAGCAAUGCUAGACAACUGAGCAUUGGCAGUGGGCAACUUUGUAUUAAUAUAGGAAACUUAAAGAUAAUGGUAGGUAACUGAGCAUCAACUGGUAGAGAUCUUACCCGCAGCGAUGGCCAAACUGAGCAUCAACAGGAAAAACUAUCUCUAGUAAAUGUUCGACAAGCUUUAGUCAGUAAAAAACACAAUACACAACUUGCACACAAGUCUCUGGCAACUCACUCCAACGUCUCUCGCAAAACACGCCCACUAUAGAAAAGAUAGUAGUAUCUCCAGGCAAGUACCUAGUAAACGUUGGGCAUGUUUUGGUCGGUAAAAACACAACAAGCAACUUGCUCUCGCAUCUAUAGCAACUUGCGCCUGCUUUUCUAGCAACACGCGCUGGCGUCUCCUGGGAAGUAAACAACAUCUCAUCUCCUGGAAAAUGAGACAUCAACAGUUCUGGUGUAUCACACUGUAGAAACAAAUAAAAUAGCAGCGCGAACAUCUACUACACAUACAAAAUCAAAACAACCAUUCAUAAAUCAGAUGCACGCGCGACAUUGCAGCUCCAAUUUCCCGUUACCACCAAACAUCGCAAGAUGGCACACAGGCAAUAUACACAAGAAUUACACAUAUAAACGACAAUACAGAGCUUUACAUUGCCAUCUAUCACCUGUGCAGCAAAAACAAAACAAGGUACCAGUGCCGAAAGGCCAAUCAGGCAAGCAGCAAGAAAAGAUUCGAGCUGCAGCAAACAACAUGGCCUCUAAUUUUUAACAGUUACCAAUGGCAACCAGCGAAAAGGUCAAAAGUUCAGAUUUGUAACAGUGACAUGUUCCUGGCUCUAAGCAAGUCUAAAUACAGGAAAGCAGAAGAGUUAGGACGCAAAACAACGGGUGUCUGGCCACACGACUCGUCCUGCAUUUUGUUGCAAUUGCAUCGCAGGACGGCAGGAGGCCGAACUAAGCAGAAUUGUUCCAUUUUUACAGUAUCUUCACUUACAUAUACUUUAACGUGCCCACAUGGACCUGACAAUGCAUAUAUAACUUAGGAAAACUUUGGCUGUGAACAAAAACCUUCCUGACGCCUAUAUAUAUCUGCACCUAGUACUACAAGUACUGAAGCAGAAGCAGAAGUUCAGGACACGAUAUCAGACGCUGCACUGCUUCAACCUUCUGGAUUGGGUGUUUGGUUGCUAAUCAUCAAAAGGAAAUGAGGUGCACAUUCUAGCCGCCGCCGUCGGCCGUGCUGUCGCUGCCAUGGCCAAGCACACGCUCACCUCCAAGCACAGAGGCCAAUCGAUUUUAUUCUCUGUAAACAAGCAUUUUUUGUUCGACCUGCCAUGAGCAAUUUGCUCGACCUGACAUGGGCUCUCUACAACCACGAGACGUGGAACAACAGCAGCAUAAGCGACAUCAGGACUCACCAAUAGAGGGGCUCGUCGGACUGUCGGAGUCAGCCCGCCAGUUGGGAGUCGCCGGACCAGCGAUUGGGUCAAAAAAGUCUCCACAAAGGGAGUCACGGGAGGACGAGCUUGGGCAGGAACAGGACGCACGGAGCCGACUGGAUGUAGGCGCACGACGGCCGGUGCAUGGUGGCCAUCGGGUACAUCCGGGACGACACAGACGACCCCGAAUCCAGAUCCGCAUCACAAUGAGGUCCAUAUCUCGCCGGGUUCACCACCGGGGAGGAGGGCAGCCUCCGGGAGCGACGAGCUUCGUCCCUCGCCGGGGUAGCGGGAAGAGGCAGGCCCUGAGCUUAUCGACGGUUAGGGGUGGGGGCUACUUCAAGGCGGCGCUUGGGGGCGGGAAGGUAGUCUAAUGGAGGCGUUGACCAUGCCGGGAGUGGUGGUGUGCGGCCGCAGCAGCGGGAGGUGGUGGUGGCAUCUUGUCGGGGCGGCAGGAAGAGAUGUUGGCCGCAGAGGCGCGGAGGUGGAGGUGGUGGCGACGGGGCGCGGGCCAAGACUGGAUGUAGGCGCACGACGGCCGGUGCAUGGUGGCCAUCGGGUACAUCCGGGACGACACAGACGACCCCGAAUCCAGAUCCGCAUCACAAUGAGGUCCAUAUCUCGCCGGGUUCACCACCGGGGAGGAGGGCAGCCUCCGGGAGCGACGAGCUCCGUCCCUCGCCGGGGUAGCGGGAAGAGGCAGGCCCCUGAGCUUAUCGACGGUUAGGGGUGGGGACUACUUCAAGGCGGCGCUUGGGGGCGGGAAGGUAGUCUAAUGGAGGCGUUGACCAUGCCGGGAGUGGUGGUGUGCGGCCGCAGCAGCGGGAGGUGGUGGUGGCAUCUUGUCGGGGCGGCAGGAAGAGAUGUUGGCCGCAGAGGCGCGGAGGUGGAGGUGGUGGCGACAGGGCGCGGGCCAAGGCGGCAGCGGGAGUGGGGGCCACCACGGAGAAAGGAGGAGGGAUUUGUUGGGGAAAUCUCUUUGUGUCAACCGGCUGAUAACACAACUCACAUAAACCGCCCGCUCCGCACGCCACGCGUCGUUGUGGGCCCUGCCCAACCUUAUCUUCUUAGCGAAACAGGCGAGCCAUCCGUUGAUCCCUCGUCUCUAACCUCUCGAUUCCUUCCACGGCUGAUUUCCGCGCCUCCCCACCAUGGACGUGUUGUUCCCAAGCUAAUGCCUCAAACCGUGCGUGUCUCCUCCAUGGACGUGUUGUCCCCAAGCCACUGCCCCAAGGCCAUGCGUCUCUUCGCCAUGGACGCGCUGUCCCCAAGCCACUGUCCCAAGCCAGUGCGUCUAUCCACCAUGGCCGUUUUGUGGUGUUGCGAAACAACACUGGCCGGUGGCAGCCAGUGCUCCGAUAAAGCAUUCAAGUGUUGUUAGUCGGAUGGGGUGCGGCGCGCUGUGGACCGGCUGCGGUGCAACCUCGUCGACGCUGCUCUGCAGCUCCCGACACACGCGACGGGAGGCACCGGAGCUGCGAUGCAACCUCGCCGGCGCUGCAAUGCAACUCUCCCAACACACGCGAUAGGAGGCACUGGAGCUGCGAUGCAGCUUCGCCGGCGCUGCUAUGCAGCUCUCCCGAUGCGCGACAUGAGGCACCGAUGUUGUGAUGCAACUCUCCCGAUGCACGCGGCAUGAGGCACCGAUGCUGCGAUGCAACCUCGUCGGCGCUGCUAUGCAGCUCUCCCGACGCACUCGGCAUGAGGCAUCGGUCAUCUUCGGUGGAUCUCGUCGAGCUUGUUGAGCUAGACGACGCAAAAGCUUCAAUGCAACGGGGAUGUUUGCUGUGGCGGAGAUGACCGGCUGAUUUCGAAGGUUGUCAACAGGCAGCACUGCAAGACGGGAUGACGAAGAGCGAUGGAGGAGUGCUGCACUCAAGAGACGACGGAGUCAAUUUCUGCUGGGUUGCGCUCGUGGUCCAACUGGCACAUAUCGGACGGCUGCGCAUGGCCUCAUCCAAUGGCUCAGGAGGCGGUUUACGAUUGUCUCACGUCAGCCGGAUGACGCCUAGCAGUGGCCAUUUGUUGGUGGACGGGGCGAUCGUGCGAAGGGUUCGCGUCGUGGGUUCCGACAAAAAUUCACCUGCGCGUUGUGAUCUCGCACGCGAGGAGAUCGGACGGCCAGCGAGGGUGUGUGCUCAAAACGUCAGCUGCACUUUUUAGCAUUUGGGUAAUUAACGGCAUCUAAACACACCAUACUCGCAUCUGCUGGACUCUACUGUACUCGCAUCUGCUGUCCUCUCUCCGUUUUCUUUAGCUCUCUUCUAUUGACUGUUUAUUCAUGCCUGUGUGCCAGCUUUGUACUUCUUGGAUUAAUUCCUCUAUUGCAAUAAAGUCUCUAGACAUUUUAUUCUUCAUAUGUCUGCCCUGUGGGCUUGCUGUGUCUUCUUUCUAUGUUUUACAAAGUAGAAAUGGCCCUUUCUAAUUUGAUUCUUCAUAAUCCAUUGAUCACCCCUCUUGUUUCCUGCUCCUUAGGGGGCCUGGAGAAAAAAAUGCCUCUUGCUUACACAACAAGAUUCUUGGUACUGCUUAUAGUGCCUCUUUGAGCUUCUUCUUCAAUGUUCCCACACGGGCCCAAAUAAUUGAUGUCUUGCUUAUUUAUUGGUGCUCCUUCUGUUGGGCCUUUGGGCCGCUCCUCUCUUUUAUUACAGAUUUAUUUUACAUGGGGUUUACAGGGCUUUGUGUUUUUUGGGCUUAUAAUUCUUCAUGGGCUUUUUGAAAGAUGUAUCUUGGGUUUUGCUUCUUGGGCUUGCUCUUUGUGUUCUCUGGAUUUUUUGUUUCCCAGCUAGGUUGCCUCCCCUUUUGUUUACGUCUUUUUCUUGUCAUUCCUUUUCAAAAACUUGUUUCUUAGUCUUUCUUCUGAGGUUUCCUUUUGGGCUGCCUUCUCCUAUCAGGAAAAAAUGCUUUCCAUGGGAUUUGUAGGGUCUUGUGUUUUCUGGCCUGGUGAUUCUUCCUGGGCUUUUGAAAGGAUGUUUCUUGGAUUUUGCUUCUUGGGCUUUCUCUCCGUCUUCUCUGUAUUUUUGUGCUCCUCCUAAAUAUAAUGUUUUCUCUUCAUGCCUUUCCCAAAAAAAAUGAUUAUUGGGUCCUUCUUCUUAGGUAAAAAGCUUCUUUUCUACUACUCAUAUAAGCACGUGUGAAUGCACAUGUUUUAGAUCUCAUAUGAAAGCAACUCGAUUGUACACCAAAAGAUAACUGUUGUGUUAAUAUAGCUUUCUCUCAUGCCUUGCUUGAUUGCGCAAUUGUACAGUCAAAUGCUUAUCUCACAUGAGGAAGAAAACUUACAGCUGCUGUGUUGAUAUAGCUUUCUCUCAUGCCUUGCUCAACUGCACAAUUGUACAAUCAAAUGCUUAUCUCACAUGAGGAAGAAAACUUAGUGUCGCAUGUUACGGAGAUACAAAUAUAUAGAUGGCCAUAAAGAAAUUCUAUUCGAAGCUGUCUAACUGAUUGAGUGAGCUGAAACCUGUCCGAGCCAAUUUAUUUACCUUUGGAUAUUAAUAUCUCAUCUUGCUCCGUUACCAAACUACUUGGUUUUCUAGGUGCACCAGGAGAAGUCUGAUGAUAAGGCUGAAGCUCUUUCAUCUUCUAUUGAAGGAAAGAAUGAUAAGGAUGACCAGGGGUAGAUGACCAAAAAAAGGGAGCUGUGCUACUGGAAAGGGGGCUGGGACAGCAAAGAAAUCAAGGCAGUUACUACUCUGCGCCAUCUAUGCAGAGAUUAAUUACCUAUAGUAGAGAGCAAGGGACAUAUAAGAAAUCUCCAGGCAGCUUCGCUUAGAUGCAUCAUCUUCUGCUAGGACCUAGGAGUCAGCUUGAAGAAUGACCUUCUCAGGUUAAUUCUUUAUAGAGAACAGGAGACUGCAACUAACAUGCUGGAUGGUGAAUAACCAAAUUUGUGGACAAAGACAGAUAGUUCAUCGCAAGGGGUGGUGUUUAGGAUAUAUAUACACAAAAGAGGAAACUUUCUUUUGUACAGAACCAAAUUAUAUGAUGUAAUUGACCACUAUUUCUAAGAAAUGUUCAUCGUGUAUUAAGUACAUUUUAUUGUGUCACUUUUUUUUUGAGGGGUAGCUUUAUUCAUCAAACACCACAAAGUGUGCAAUGGAGUUCAUCAAACCUGGCUUUA